CUGGCGCUCCGGCCCGCCUGCGCGCCUGGGCAGGUGGAGUGUCCAGCGUUUGUCAGCAGUCAGCUGGGAUCCUGGGCGCCCUCAGGAGUCGGGACCUCUGAUCAGAGGUGGUGAGUUAACCUUUGAGCCGCGGCACCGAGAAUCCUGCGGAAAUAGGCAGUUCACCAGCCCUACGCUUCUCCGAGAGGGAAACGGAAACGCCCGGCGGUUGAAAACGAAGUCAGUCCUUCCUGCAGUCCCAGGAAAGCUCCGCUCUGAAGUCCCUUUCAGAGCAGAGAGGAAAGAUUGCAUCCCUCAUGUCCCAGCCUCACCGGGACCCUAAUGGCAUCCCCCCAAGACAUUCCCACGUGCCUGACAAUAUAAAUCAUCUUGUUAAAAUUUAAAACGCCCAAUUCUGACAAGAAUGUGGUUAGAGAGGAAUCUUUCUUAUAGGAUGCUGGUUAAAGGGGAAAACAGUCUGGCGUUUAUCUCUAUCCUAAGAAUAAUCAGAAUCACCCAGAUGUAUUAUUUAUGCACGAAUGUUAACCAAAGUAUAACAGGAAAAAAGUGGAAAUAAGUAUUCUAAAGAAUGGACCAUUAUGCAGGUCCAUUACAGAGUUUGAAGUGAAAAUGAUAGCAUGUGUAUUGUUGGGAAGCAAGGAAGUUACUAAGUAUACACAAUAGCAGUUAGGUAAAACCAAGCAUUGUUUGUUUGCAUAUAAUGUGUAUGGGCAAGGGUUAUAAAUGACUUUUCGUAAGUGAUUUAAAAUUUUUAAUAUUUUCCAAAUUUUGCACAAUAUUAGAAAAAAACAAUUAACUUAAAAAAUUAUGUUUGAGACUGACUAUACAGUGACCAGAGCCACCUAUGACCACCUGUGCAUCAACCAGACCCCCUUCCACCCCGCAGCCAACCACAACUUCUACAGCAGUCAGGACUUGGUCGAUGACUACCAGUUGCCCACCUUUUUAGACUUCCUCACCAGCCAAGAGGAAGCCGAUUAUGCUCCCAAACCAAACACACAAGACAUCCUGCUUCCCCACCAGCAGCCUCUGAUCAGAGCAUACCUGAAGCCCUCCCUUGCUUUCACCAUAAGGCCUUCCCACUCUUCUGACUACCUUUUAGUCAAUGCCAAACACAGGUAAAUGGUGGCUGACUCCUCUUCUAUAGCAAGCUCUUGAUAAAUGGUUCCUGUUCUCAUUUGAGUGGUUUUUGUUUAUCUUCAAGUCUCAUCAUUGUGGAUGAGAGUUUCUGGCAGUUUUGUAGUUAAUGAAAAUGGCAGAAUAAAAAUUUCAUAAAUGAUGUGAGUUCCAACUUUGAAAAUGAUAAAUACAGGGGGAAAAACACCAAAGUAAUGAAUAGUAGUCUUAAAUACUAAGAAAAAUUGUUUUUCUACUGUUCUGUAUUUUCCCCUUUUCCUGCAUGAAACAUGUAAUUGUUUAAAAUUCAUAUGCAUAUUUUUUCUUGGAAAUUAUAAGAAUGACUUGAUGAAUAGUUUGGUACAACAGAUCACUUGGUAAGGAGUUUUAAAAUAUACAGUGUUUAUAUUUACAGAAUCCAAAUAUAUAUAAAACUUUAUUUUUAUUAUCCACAUAUUGUUUAGUGUUACUGUUCUUGUUAUUGGACCUCCCUGAUAGCUCAGUUGGUGAAGAAUCCACCACUAAUGCAGGAAAUGUUCUUGUUAUUAAACAUUUUGACUAUCAUGCCAGGUUAAAUGAUUAACAGAUGAAAGUAUAUUGUAUAUUUUUAUACACUUAUCACAUAAAAAGGCUAAUGUCCUCUUUUAUAUUGCUUACUUUCUUUCGUACACUCCCAGAUUUAUACUUCAUGGCAUAUAAAACAUUUAUUUACAUUCCAAAUUAUUUAAAUCUAAUUGAUUAUACUCAAUUUGAUUUUAAACUGCCAAUUUCAUGGAAUUCUUAUGUAUAUCGUUAGUUUCCUUAUGGCCAAGAGCUAUAAUUUCAUUAUAGUCUUUCUGGCAGUAAUCCUUUGAAAUUAAUUUAUGACAAUGCAUGUAGUCAGCUUGUAUAAAUACUAGAAAGGAAAUUACAUUACUGACUUAAGAAAGAAAAGUUGUCAUGUUUCCUUGA